rnacentral:misc_RNA from 1 species
GUGAAUCAUCGAAUUUUUGAACGCAAAUUGCACUCUCUUCGGAGAGUAUGCCUGUUUGAGGGUCAGCCUAUAAAAAACCGCCUCAGUUCCUGUUACGCGGUAACAUUCGUCGGAAUUUGGGUAAUUUUAAUCCUUUGGGUUUAAGCGACUUAAAAUUUUCUUUACGAUUCAAAGAUCGUUCCUAAGAUUUUAUCUUUUUAUACUUUUAAUGUAUAGAUCUAUAU